ACGCUCGACACCUACAGGAGGCAGCAGUAGGGAAUCUUCCACAAUGGACGCAAGUCUGAUGGAGCAACGCCGCGUGAGUGAAGAAGGUCUUCGGAUCGUAAAACUCUGUUGUUAGAGAAGAACACGAGUGAGAGUAACUGUUCAUUCGAUGACGGUAUCUAACCAGCAAGUCACGGCUAACUACGUGCAAGCAGCCGCGGUAAUCUGAGCGGGCUGGCAAGGC
rnacentral:rRNA from 1 species